GAUUAACGCUGGCGGCGUGCAUAACACAUGCAAGUCGAACGAUGAAACUUUAAUGAACCCUUCGGGGAGAAUUAAAGCGGAUUAGUGGCGAACGGGUGAGUAACGCGUGAGUAACCUGCCUUACACAAGGGGAUAGCCUUUGGAAACGAAGAAUAAUACCCUAUAAAACCAUACAAGCACAUGCAAUUAUGGUCAAAGUGAUAGCGGUGUAAGAUGGACUUGCGUCUGAUUAGCUAGUUGGUGAGAUAAAAGCCCACCAAGGCAACGAUCAGUAGCCGGCUUGAGAGAGUGUACGGCCACAUUGGGACUGAGACACGGCCCAGACUCCUACGGGAGGCAGCAGUGGGGAAUUUUGCACAAUGGGGGAAACCCUGAUGCAGCGACGCCGCGUGAUUUAGAAGGCCUUCGGGUUGUAAAAAUCUUUUGUAUAGGAAGAAAAUGACAGUACUAUACGAAUAAGGUCCGGCUAAUUACGUG
rnacentral:rRNA from 1 species